rnacentral:rRNA from 1 species
ACUACGGGGGGCAGCAGUGGGGAAUAUUGGGCAAUGGGCGCAAGCCUGACCCAGCAACGCCGCGUGAAGGAAGAAGGCUUUCGGGUUGUAAACUUCUUUUCUCAGGGACGAAGCAAGUGACGGUACCUGAGGAAUAAGCCACGGCUAACUACGUGCCAGCAGCCGCGGUAAUACGUAGGUGGCAAGCGUUAUCCGGAUUUACUGGGUGUAAAGGGCGUGUAGGCGGGGACGCAAGUCAGAUGUGAAAACCACGGGCUCAACCUGUGGCCUGCAUUUGAAACUGUGUUUCUUGAGUACUGGAGAGGCAGACGGAAUUCCUAGUGUAGCGGUGAAAUGCGUAGAUAUUAGGAGGAACACCAGUGGCGAAGGCGGUCUGCUGGACAGCAACUGACGCUGAGGCGCGAAAGCGUGGGGAGCAAACAGGAUUAGAUACCCCGGUAGUC